UACGAAGGGGGCUAGCGUUGCUCGGAAUCACUGGGCGCAAAGCGCACGUAGGCGGCUCUUUAAGUCAGGGGUGAAAUCCCAAGGCUCAACCUUGGAACUGCCUUUGAUACUGGGGAUCUCGAGUCCGGAAGAGGUGAGUGGAACUGCGAGUGUAGAGGUGAAAUUCGUAGAUAUUCGCAAGAACACCAGUGGCGAAGGCGGCUCACUGGUCCGGUACUGACGCUGAGGUGCGAAAGCGUGGGGAGCAAACAGG
rnacentral:rRNA from 1 species